rnacentral:lncRNA from 1 species
CUAAGGCACAGAGAGGCAAAGAAGCUUGUACAAAGUCAACCAGUAAGUGUUGGAAAUCACCAUUAGAACCCCAGCCAUCAGACGCUGGAGCCACAUGCUUAGCUACUGUGAUGUCCUGCCUCCCAUAAGUAAUGCCUCAAGUUUACCAGGUUAAUCCUAAAAUGACUUAGGGUUGUAUUUCCAGUGCCCAGAGCAGUACCUGGUACAUCAAAGGUGCUGAAUAAAUAUUUAUCGGAUGAAUGAAUCAAGUUUUGGGGAUCAUGAACAGUGAGAACAUAGGCCCAGACAAUUCUAAGCUCCUUAGGAGAUUCUACAGCUUCUAAAAUUUGAGAACCAACUGCAACAGGAAACAGUAGAGUAGGAAUGAGAACUCAUAGCCCCUCGUUCCUACUGCUCAUAGAAGAUCUUGAGAAGGGUAGGUACAAAUGAUACUGAUCUUUAGUACCUUUAGUGAAAAUAGUUAAACCAAACUCUCAGUAGUUCUUUCACCUUUA